rnacentral:lncRNA from 1 species
UUGGUAGCAUGGAUAUAGCUAUCAUGAUUGGUAUUCAUCAUGGUAGCUUAUUUAUCAACCAUCCCACGUUCGAUUAUCUCAAUAAGUUAGUGAUAAAGCUGGAGGAUAUUGAUGUAGAUAAAGUAUUAUAUAUGAACAUCAUUGAUUUGUUAAAUAACUUGUGUUACACUACGUGGAAAAAGUACAUUAUGGUGUACCAAGAGGGGCUUCAAACAUAGCCUUAUCCUAUAUUUAGUUGGGAUCAUGAAAAAGAGGAUGGA